rnacentral:rRNA from 1 species
UACAGAGGGGGCAAGCGUUGUUCGGAAUUACUGGGCGUAAAGGGCGCGUAGGCGGCCUUCUAAGUCGAACGUGAAAUCCCCGGGCUCAACCCGGGAACUGCGUCCGAGACUGGAAGGCUCGAAUCCGGGAGAGGGAUGUGGAAUUCCAGGUGUAGCGGUGAAAUGCGUAGAUAUCUGGAGGAACACCGGUGGCGAAGGCGACAUCCUGGACCGGCAUUGACGCUGAGGCGCGAAAGCCAGGGGAGCAAACGGG